GACGAACGCUGGCGGCGUGCUUAACACAUGCAAGUCGAACGGAAAGGCCCUGCUUGCCGGGUACUCGAGUGGCGAACGGGUGAGUAACACGUGGGUGAUCUGCCCUGCACUUCGGGAUAAGCCUGGGAAACUGGGUCUAAUACCGGAUAGGAGCCAUUUUUAGUGUGAUGGUUGGAAAGUUUUUUCGGUGUAGGAUGAGCUCGCGGCCUAUCAGCUUGUUGGUGGGGUAAUGGCCUACCAAGGCGGCGACGGGUAGCCGGCCUGAGAGGGUGGACGGCCACAUUGGGACUGAGAUACGGCCCAGACUCCUACGGGAGGCAGCAGUGGGGAAUAUUGCACAAUGGGCGCAAGCCUGAUGCAGCGACGCCGCGUGGGGGAUGACGGCCCUCGGGUUGGAAACUCCUUUCGCUAGGGACGAAGCUUUUUGUGACGGUACCUAGAUAAGAAGCACCGGCUAACUACGUG
rnacentral:rRNA from 1 species